GACGAAAGCUGGCGGCGUGCCUAAUACAUGCAAGUAGAACGCUGAAGAGAGGAGCUUGCUCUUCUUGGAUGAGUUGCGAACCGGGUGAGUAACGCGUAGGUAACCUGCCUGGUAGCGGGGGAUAACUAUUGGAAACGAUAGCUAAUACCGCAUGAUAUUAAUUAUCGCAUGAUAAUUAAUUGAAAGAUGCAAUUGCAUCACUACCAGAUGGACCUGCGUUGUAUUAGCUAGUUGGUGAGGUAACGGCUCACCAAGGCGACGAUACAUAGCCGACCUGAGAGGGUGAUCGGCCACACUGGGACUGAGACACGGCCCAGACCUCUACGGGAGGCAGCAGUAGGGAAUCUUCGGCAAUGAGGGGAACCCUGACCGAGCAACGCCGCGUGAGUGAAGAAGGUUUUCGGAUCGUAAAGCUCUGUUGUAAGAGAAGAACGGGUGUGAGAGUGG
rnacentral:rRNA from 1 species